ensembl:lncRNA
AGAAAAGAGGGGACAUUAUGAAAGGAGAGAGGUAAAACAGAGUAUGGGGAAAAGAGGGGACAUUAUGAAAGGAGAGAGGUAAAACAGAGUUUGGAGAAAAGAGGGGACAUGAAAGGAGAGAGGUAAAGAGAGUAUGGAGAAAAGAGGGGACAUUAUGAAAGGAGAGAGGUAAAACAGAGUAUGGAGAAAAGAGGGGACAUUAUGAAAGGAGAGAGGUAAAGAGAGUAUGGAGAAGAGAGGGGAUAUUAUGAAAGGAGAGAGGUAAAGAGAGUAUGGAGAAAAGAGGGGACAUUAUGAAAGGAGAGAGGUAAAGAGAGUAUGGAGAAAAGAGGGGACAUUAUGAAAGGAGAGAGGUAAAAGAGGAUAUGGAGAAAAGAGGGGACAUGAAAGGAGAGAGGUAAAGAGAGUAUGGAGAAGAGAGGGGACAUUAUGAAAGGAGAGAGGUAAAAGAGAGUAUGGAGAAAGGAGGGGACAUUAUGAAAGGAGAGAGGUAAAAGAGGAUAUGGAGAAAAGAGGGGACAUUAUGAAAGGAGAGAGGUAAAAGAGAAUA